rnacentral:lncRNA from 1 species
UGGUUUGUGCGACUAGAGGAACUGAUGAAGAGAGGGACAUGUACAACAUUUUGCGACAAAAAAGAGAGACCAGACCCUAGCCAGGGCUACAUGUUUAGGUUCCUCACAUGAAUGCAUUAACACUUGGUUACCCGUUCUGAAGAGAUGUGGCUAUGGCUGCCUCCACAGGCUUCGAUGGCUCGAAGGAAACCGCAUUUAGGUAUUCGAUCGGUUGAUUUAUUCGAAUGACAUGUGCAGCCAAAAAUCAUGGGAUCCAAGUUAUACCUCC